CCUGGCCCUCACUGUUGAGGAUGUGGUCUGCAUCCAACGUAAUGGACAUUUGUUGUUCUUCAACCUCACGCUGCUGAUCGAGGGGGAGUACUGGAAGACUUUGAGGUUGUCAGCCAUGGAAACUUUCCUGAAGGAGUUUGUCGACGUCAGAGGACACAAGGACGUGCGGGAUGAGCUGGGCUUUUGUAAUGGGCAAAGACAAUUUCAGGGCCAGGGAACCGUAGAGGCAUGAGGUGCCGGCGGUGUACGGAGACCGGCCACCUGGCCAGGGGCUGCGUAGGUUCCCGCCGCUGUCCCCAGUGUGAAGGUGACUAAGGUAAGUGAUGGUUUUGCAGCUGCUAGUGUUUGCGGGGUCCAACUGGCCGGCCGAAGAGGAUUUUCACUCUCCUGGUCAGGAGGACACGAC
ensembl:lncRNA uncharacterized LOC108932326